rnacentral:rRNA from 1 species
UACGAAGGGGGCUAGCGUUGCUCGGAAUCACUGGGCGUAAAGCGCACGUAGGCGGCUUUUUAAGUCAGGGGUGAAAUCCUGGAGCUCAACUCCAGAACUGCCUUUGAUACUGAGAGCUUGAGUCCGGGAGAGGUGAGUGGAACUGCGAGUGUAGAGGUGAAAUUCGUAGAUAUUCGCAAGAACACCAGUGGCGAAGGCGGACUCACUGGCCCGGUACUGACGCUGAGGUGCGAAAGCGUGG